rnacentral:rRNA from 1 species
GAUGAACGCUGGCGGCAUGCCUAAUACAUGCAAGUCGAACGAGAGGAAGGAAAGCUUGCUUUUCUGAAUCUAGUGGCGAACGGGUGAGUAACACGUAGGUAACCUGCCCAUGUGCCCGGGAUAACUUCUGGAAACGGAUGCUAAAACCGGAUAGGUAGCAGACAAGCAUUUGACUGCUAUUAAAGUGGCUAAGGCCAUGAACAUGGAUGGACCUGCGGUGCAUUAGCUAGUUGGUGAGGUAACGGCCCACCAAGGCGACGAUGCGUAGCCGGCCUGAUGGGGCGGACGGCCACAUUGGGACUGAGACACGGCCCAAACUCCUACGGGCGGCAGCAGUAGGGAAUUUUCGUCAAUGGGGGGAACCCCGAACGAGCAAUGCCGCGUAAGUGAGGAAGGCCUUCGGAUCGUAAAGCUCUGUUGUAAGAGAAAAACGACAUUCAUAGGGAAUGAUGAGUGAGUGAUGGUAUCUUACCAGAAAGUCACGGCUAACUACGUGCCAGCAGCCGCCGUAA